AGUGGAUCCUGAGUACGACGGAGCACGUGAAAUUCCGUCGGAAUCUGGGAGGACCAUCUCCUAAGGCUAAAUACUCUCUAGUGACCGAUAGUGAACCAGUACCGUGAGGGAAAGGUGAAAAGCACCCCGGAAGGGGAGUGAAAUAGAACCUGAAACCGUGUGCUUACAAGUAGUCAGAGCCCGUUAAUGGGUGAUGGCGUGCCUUUUGUAGAAUGAACCGGCGAGUUACGAUUUGAUGCAAGGUUAAGCAGUAAAUGUGGAGCCGUAGCGAAAGCGAGUCUGAAUAGGGCGUUUAGUAUUUGGUCGUAGACCCGAAACCAGGUGAUCUACCCUUGGUCAGGUUGAAGUUCAGGUAACACUGAAUGGAGGACCGAACCGACUUACGUUGAAAAGUGAGCGGAUGAACUGAGGGUAGCGGAGAAAUUCCAAUCGAACCUGGAGAUAGCUGGUUCUCUCCGAAAUAGCUUUAGGGCUAGCCUCAAGUGAUGAUUAUUGGAGGUAGAGCACUGUUUGGACGAGGGGCCCCUCUCGGGUUACCGAAUUCAGACAAACUCCGAAUGCCAAUUAAUUUAACUUGGGAGUCAGAACAUGGGUGAUAAGGUCCGUGUUCGAAAGGGAAACAGCCCAGACCACCAGCUAAGGU
rnacentral:rRNA from 1 species